rnacentral:rRNA from 1 species
ACCUACGGGAGGCAGCAGUGGGGAAUAUUGGACAAUGGGGGGAACCCUGAUCCAGCGACGCCGCGUGAGUGAAGAAGUAUUUCGGUAUGUAAAGCUCUAUCAGCAGGGAAGAAAAUGACGGUACCUGACUAAGAAGCCCCGGCUAACUACGUGCCAGCAGCCGCGGUAAUACGUAGGGGGCAAGCGUUAUCCGGAUUUACUGGGUGUAAAGGGAGCGUAGACGGCGAAGAAAGUCUGAAGUGAAAGCCCGCGGCUCAACCGCGGAAUGGCUUUGGAAACUUUUUUGCUGGAGUACCGGAGAGGUA